rnacentral:rRNA from 1 species
AUUGAACGCUGGCGGCAGGCCUAACACAUGCCAGUCGAGCGGAUGAAGGGAGCUUGCUCCUGGAUUCAGCGGCGGACGGGUGAGUAAUGCUUAGGAAUCUGCCUGGUAGUGGGGGAUAACGUCCGGAAACGGGCGCUAAUACCGCAUACGUCCUGAGGGAGAAAGUGGGGAUCUUCGGACCUCACGCUAUCAGAUGAGCCUAGGUCGGAUUAGCUAGUUGGUGGGGUAAAGGCCUACCAAGGCGACGAUCCGUAACUGGUCUGAGAGGAUGAUCAGUCACACUGGAACUGAGACACGGUCCAGACUCCUACGGGAGGCAGCAGUGGGGAAUAUUGGACAAUGGGCGAAAGCCUGAUCCAGCCAUGCCGCGUGUGUGAAGAAGGUCUUCGGAUUGUAAAGCACUUUAAGUUGGGAGGAAAGGCAGUAAGUUAAUACCUUGCUGUUUUGACGUUACCAACAGAAUAAGCACCGGCUAACUUCGUG